CCGGGGUCGACAGCAUCGGUCGGGAUUACAGACACUAGGCACUGCUGCCAGAAUCACCUUUCUGCCUCACCAUGACCUGCUGGAUGAACACCUUGGGCAUUCUAACUGCAAUCUGUGCUGUGUGUGCAGCAAGUAAAGACAGUGUUAAUCAAACUGAGCCCCAUGUGAUAAGUACUGAAGGAGAAACAGUGAAUCUCACCUGUGAAUAUGAGACAACAAGUAACAAACCUUACCUCUUCUGGUACAAACAGAAACUGGGUAAAAUACCUGGCUAUUUACUGGGACGUGGAAGUUAUCAAGCUGGCCAUAACGGCACUGAGUUCAGUGAGAGAUUCCACUGCACCUUCUCCUCCAGCUCUGUUCCUCUGAUCAUCAGGAAUCUGCAAGUGUCUGACUCUGCUGUCUACUACUGUGCCCUGCAGCCCACAAAAUAUGUUCUUGUUUACUGCUAUCCUUGCUGCUGCAAUAAUAGGUGAUGGUAGUUCUGAGACAAUAAUUGCACCUAACAGCAUGGAGGUGUGGAUCCACAGUUACACUGUCUUGUAACAUCACCACAACAUUCAGGACUCUCCAGUGGUAUCAGCAGCAUUCCAAAUCAGCUCCGAAGCAUCUUUUGAAUGUGU